rnacentral:rRNA from 1 species
GGCUUUCUGGCCCGAUACUGACGCUGAGACGCGAGGGCGUGGGUAGCAAACAGGAUUAGAUACCCUGGUAGUCCACGCUGUAAACGAUGUUCACUAGGUG